CUUCAUUUUUAUGCGAUUUAUCUGAUCAUCCUUCACAAUCGUUCUUCAUCAGUUUGACAAACCCAGAAAAUCUCGAUCAUAUUUCCUGUUUCAGGAAUUCGGUGAACGUCGUUCAUAUUCCGGCGAACAUUAAUCGGAGAUGACAUAAGAUUCCGGCGAACGUUAAACUGAAAACAUUGAUUCCCCACAAUGAAAAGCUUCUGAAUGAUGCUACGGGUUAAGACACAGAUGUUGCUGUGAUGAAUUCUGCAAUAGUCAAGGAUUUGAAACUAGCUGUUGAGAAAAAUAAGUCAAUGAAAUGGAGUAGUAAAAGAUGGGUCAUCUUCAUAUUUCUUGGAAGCAUGUUGUGUGGCGAAAAUUGUCUCUCAUACCACAAUAAAAAACUUUUAUUUUCCGGCAGUUGCUGUAACCUCACGACCCAUGUUUGUAUCUAAAAACUUAGUUUCCGGCAGUCCACUUUAAACCCAGGUAUUUAUCUGUUGUUCAUUCAUUUCCCGACGAAAAAUAUUGAAACAUAAUAUCAUUUUUGACCGCAGUUCUUUUCGUCUUUCAUUCAUGGCCGACCCAGAAAUCAAUAAUCAUAAUUCCGACGAAAACGUUGACGAUAAUGUUUACGUUACAACAAUGGAUCGUCCAGGUGUGUAUCGUAUGACCAAUGAUUUCCAUAACUUUUUCUAAUGAACAUGUCAAGACAGUUUUAUAUUUGUUGUCGUUAUUGCAAUAAGUAAACUUUGAGUUUUGAGUCCUAUUGUUUGUGUAUACUAUUUGGGUCCGAGUUACACAUAAUGUAAGUUUAAACAAUGUUGUUUGAUGUAAUACGUAUGUGUACAUACAUAAGGUACACAUAUGUACUGCGUGAUCUAUACAUGCCAACAUAAUAGUACACAUGUGUAUAAUGCACAGUAGUUGCAUGUAAAUAGCAUAAUUUUUGUGAACGAGCCAUUGAAAUAUGCAAGCCAACUGUGUACAUAUGCUUUUGUAAUAUAUAUAUGCAUAUGGUUUUGAAAUAUAUAUGCAUAAGGUUUUUAAGGUUACAUUGUUGAUGGAGUGAAACUGUAUGUUGAUCUUGAUAGUAACCGGAAAAGUGUAAAAGACAUAAAUUUAAAGAAAGGUACACACUACAAGAAAAACUAGCAAUAGCGGCGACCUCUUUAGCGACGACUUCCGAAAAGUCGCCGCUAAAAGUCCUCUCCGUGUCCUCCCCUUUUAAUAAAUCCCUAGCCGUUCGAUCAUAAGGCAAUCUAAGGGCUGGUGUUUUAUUAGAGCAUGUCGCUUAUCAAAACCAUUGGCGCGCUGGAGAUUCACCCAUUCCCUCCCAAAUCACACCGGUACUGCUCCCCCAAACCCUAGAUUGACGCCGCACCAUCUCGACGGACCACCUCCUUAGCGCCGUCGCACCACCUUCUCAGCACUGCCGGACCUCCAGUUGAGACUUGGGAAAAAAGAAUAAGUGAACGUGGGGGUGGGGGUGGAAAUAGAAUCGUCGGGAACAGUAAAGUGUAAAUCGGAAACGAAUUUCGAAGUUCCAACUACAACUUGUUCUGCGUUCGUGGCGUGUGGCUGAGGCUCUUGAAUAUGGUAUAGUGGGAGUCAAUGUGGGAUUGGUUUCUACAGAGAUCAAGUACGUUUGUAUGGGGAACAUGGGAUGAUUUGAUCAUAGAUUGGUGAGGUUGAUGUUCCAGACGAAGGAGAAUUGUUUCAGGAUGGCUUUGGUGGCGAUAAUAAGAAUGAUGUAAAAAUUGAGAGUCAGACGAAAAAGAAUCCAAAUGGUAAACCUCAGAGUAAAAAAGGCAAAUUAGUGAAAUCAGCUAGACAAGAAUCAGUCUAUGCAGUGCGUGUGCUGUUUUCGGAUAAUUUGGAAGGAUAUGUUGAUCAUAUGGAGAAUGAAUAUAAAAGCACGAAGAAAAGUACGUCUAAACGGAAAACUGUUGGUAAAGAAAACAAAAGACUCGGUAUGAACGUAAUUGGAUUUGUACACAAUUGAAUAGUUAAGAAAACUAAGGAUGAUUCAUCUACUCAGGAAGAGGAUGAGGAAGAAAUAGAGUGAGAAUCUGAAGAAUCAGAAAGCGAAGACAACGGAAGUGAAAUAUAGAAUAUAUGCUGAAAACAUUCAUUAUUAUACAUCAACAUUCUUUUUUUGUUUUUAAAACUCUUACAGUCGUGGUUGUUUUUUAUUGAUUAACUAAUUACAUAGAUUACAUCUUUCAUUUACCAUCAAUAC